AACGAACGCUGGCGGCAGGCCUAACACAUGCAAGUCGAGCGAGGACUUCGGUCCUAGCGGCGGACGGGUGAGUAACGCGUGGGAACGUGCCCUUUGCUUCGGAAUAGCCCUGGGAAACUGGGAGUAAUACCGGAUGAGCCCUUUGGGGGAAAGAUUUAUCGGCGAAGGAUCGGCCCGCGUUGGAUUAGGUAGUUGGUGGGGUAAUGGCCUACCAAGCCGACGAUCCAUAGCUGGUUUGAGAGGAUGAUCAGCCACACUGGGACUGAGACACGGCCCAGACUCCUACGGGAGGCAGCAGUGGGGAAUCUUAGACAAUGGGGGAAACCCUGAUCUAGCCAUGCCGCGUGAGCGAUCAAGGCCUUAGGGUUGUAAAGCUCUUUCAGCUGGGAAGAUAAUGACGGUACCAGCAGAAGAAGCCCCGGCUAACUCCGUG
rnacentral:rRNA from 1 species